rnacentral:rRNA from 1 species
UACGGGGGGAGCAAGCGUUGUUCGGAUUUACUGGGCGUAAAGGGCGCGUAGGCGGCCACGACAAGUCACUUGUGAAAUCUCCGGGCUUAACUCGGAACGGUCAAGUGAUACUGUCGGGCUAGAGUGCGGAAGGGGCAACUGGAAUUCUCGGUGUAGCGGUGAAAUGCGUAGAUAUCGAGAGGAACACCUGCGGCGAAGGCGGGUUGCUGGGCCGACACUGACGCUGAGGCGCGAAAGCUAGGGGAGCAAACGGG